rnacentral:tRNA from 1 species
UGGGUUGUGGCUCAGAGAUAGAGCGCUCACCUAGCAUGUGUGAGGUCCUGGGUUCGACCCUCAGCACCACAU